UACGUAGGGUGCGAGCGUUAAUCGGAAUUACUGGGCGUAAAGCGUGCGCAGGCGGUUUUGUAAGCCAGAUGUGAAAUCCCCGGGCUUAACCUGGGAAUGGCAUUUGGGACUGCAAGGCUUGAGUGUUGGAGAGGAUGGCGGAAUUCCUGGUGUAGAGGUGAAAUUCGUAGAUAUCAGGAGGAACACCGGUGGCGAAGGCGGCCAUCUGGACAACAACUGACGCUGAGAUGCGAAAGCGUGGGGAGCAA
rnacentral:rRNA from 1 species